AGGUGCGAUCAUACCAGCACUAAUGAAUCGGUUCCUAUCAGAACUCNGUAGUGAAGCAACCUUGGGCGAGAGUAGUACUAGGAUGGGUGACCUCCUGGGAAGUCCUCGUGUUAUACNUU
rnacentral:rRNA from 2 species